AUGACCACUCUCUGCAGGCCUUGUCUUUACUCCUGGAUUGAAUUCACACCUCCUGUUGGAGCAGAGGGAGCAGAGCCAUCCUACAUCCAAGCUUCCCUUUCAGACCAGAACAUUGCACAGCUAUCUUCAGACCAAGAAAAUGAUGGCAAAAGGCAGACGUGGUCACCAGGCUCCUUUUAUCCCAGGGUCAAGGCCUUGAAAGCAAGCCAAACUGAUUUGGGGGCCUACUUCCUUUGUUUCGGUGGAUGUUUGCCAGAAUAUCAAGUCCUGCAGCAGCACUGACUGUGCUGAACCCUCACAGAACAACAUCACUCCCACCGUACGUGGACUACGGCAUUUCUGACU
rnacentral:lncRNA from 14 species